UUGAGACUAAGGCAAUAAUUCAAAUGGAAUUCAAACUACAUACAGUAUUUAAUAUUUUCAAAUGGUUACAAUAGCACAUGAUUUUGGUAUUUUUAUCUUUGGGACAAAUUUUGGAUUCAAUUGGCGAUUGUUUUUGGAGGUAUUCAUUUUACAUGGUGUUCAAAAUGGUUACUUCCGCCCACUCUGAAGAGUCUCGGCGUCUGAUUGGUCCAAUUUUCAGUUAGGCGCUGCCUGAUUGGCCAGUGGAUGAUGUCGGCUCCUAACAGAGGGCUAAAUCACUAGUUUAUUAUUUUCCUCAUGGAAGUUAUACAGUUCACGUAUCACACUUAAUAUUGAAUAUAUAUAAAAAGGGUUUUCCAAAAGGACCACUUAUAAGCGAAAUACAAAACUUCACACACGAUUUUGAGCACAACAGAGCGCUCAGUGAACAUCACUUCCGGGACCUGCAGCACCAGAGGGGGACAUCUAUCUUGGCCACAAACCAUCUUUGACAGUCUUCAGCAGCAUGGUUGAAUCAGGCGCAUCAACACAUGAUAUAGACAUCGUGUCCAAAAGAAGAGCGAGACGUAAUCCUGAGGCUGAAGCCACCGAGUUUAUUUGAUCUGGAUGUGACAAGUCUUGUUUUAAGGCCCAGUGGAUCAAUGAUUGGAAAGACACCAACUGUUGAUGUUCUAUCUCAACAUUCUCCAGACUCAUGUGAGCGAUAAACCGACUUCAUCCCUCCAACAGACACCAACUGUUGGGGUUCUAUCUCAACAUUCUCCAGAUUCAGAUGUGAGCGAUAAACCGACUUCAUCCCUCCAACAGAAACCAACUGUUGAGGUUCCAUCUCAACAUUCUCCAGAUUCAGAUGUGAGCCAUUAACUGACUUCAUCCCUCCAACAGAAACCAACUGUUGAGGUUCUAUCUCAACAUUCUCUAGAUUCAGAUGACAGCCAUAAACCGACUUCAUCCCUCCAACAGAUUGACAGCAGGACAAAUCGCUGGAAGUGGGUAUGUCUCAAGCUUCUUCCACUUGGUCCACUCCAAAGCGGGCUGCAAAGGGGAAGAAGUGGAAGGAGUUGAAUGACACAUGUUGCAUUUUGUAACUGGCAACAAAGUACCAGGUAAAAAAGAUUGUGAAGCCUCCCUCCAUAAAGAACUAGUAACUCUACAGGACAGAGAUUGGCUUGACAUCAAGUACUACAUCCAAAACAGAAUUAUAUUUAAAAAAGGAAAAAAAAAUGUUUUCCCACAUCUUCUGUGGUAGUUUGAGUAUGUUACCAGCAAUUAAAAAAGCAAAAUAAACAGCAAGCGUUUUGUAUUUAUUCCAGAUAAUUCUUAGCGACAAAAUCCACAAAAACAAUUCAGUUACACUUAAUCGACAAUUACAUUUUUACCCAUGUUUCUUUUAAACUCUUCUUGGUUUUAGAUUACAGUAGCAUGGGAUUGGGAUUUUUUUUUUUAAAUGACAACACAUCAACUAAACCAACUCAGGUGGUUUUGUUAAGUCUCUGAUGUCAUUAGCCUCAUAUGUCACAUGAACCUGAAAUCUUAAACACUCUGUGACGUCAUGGUUGUCAUAUUUCACAAACUUGAAAUCUUAAACACUCUGUGACGUCAUGGUCAUCAUAUGUCACAUAAACUUGAAAUCUUAAACACUCUGUGACGUCAUGGUUGUCAUAUUUCACAAACUUGAAAUCUUAAACACUCUGUGACGUCAUGGUCAUCAUAUGUCACAUGAACCUGAAAUCUUAAACACUCGGUGACGUCAUGGUCAUCAUAUGUCACAUAAACUUGAAAUCUUAAACACUCUGGUCUUCAUUUGUCACCGAAACCUGACAAGUCCUCAUAUGUACCAUAAAAAUCAGGUUCAGAAAAAAACAAAAGAGUUGCAAAAAUCUCAAUAGACCACUGUGUUUGUAAAAUUCUGGUUCACUAACCGUCUGAUUCCCAGGCCUGUAGGACCAUUGGAAAGGCAUGUCCCCAUAUGUCACGUUUUUGUCAUAAGUCCUCAUAUGUCACCCAAACACGUAUGUGUGUGUGUGUGUGUGUGUGUGUGUGUGUGUGUGUGUGUGU